rnacentral:rRNA from 1 species
GACGAACGCUGGCGGCGUGCCUAAUACAUGCAAGUAGAACGCUGAAGGAGGAGCUUGCUUCUCUGGAUGAGUUGCGAACGGGUGAGUAACGCGUAGGUAACCUGCCUGGUAGCGGGGGAUAACUAUUGGAAACGAUAGCUAAUACCGCAUAACAGUGGAUAUCGCAUGAUAUCUACUUGAAAGGUGCAAUUGCAUCACUACCAGAUGGACCUGCGUUGUAUUAGCUAGUUGGUGAGGUAACGGCUCACCAAGGCGACGAUACAUAGCCGACCUGAGAGGGUGAUCGGCCACACUGGGACUGAGACACGGCCCAGACUCCUACGGGAGGCAGCAGUAGGGAAUCUUCGGCAAUGGACGGAAGUCUGACCGAGCAACGCCGCGUGAGUGAAGAAGGUUUUCGGAUCGUAAAGCUCUGUUGUAAGAGAAGAACGAGUGUGAGAGUGGAAAGUUCACACUGUGACGGUAUCUUACCAGAAAGGGACGGCUAACUACGUG